rnacentral:lncRNA from 10 species
AGCAAGUGGAAACUUCCGGUAGAGAAGAAGCACAGCUGAUUCACCCACCAUCACAGGAAGGCAGGCGGCUUUCAAGGGCAUAGAUGCAGACCAUGUGGAAGCUUGGUGGAGGAGUCGGGGGAGUAAAAACGAGGCUGGCAUUCUGGACUUGCAUAGUCGAGAGAGCUACUGGUGUGAGGAAGCUGAUGGAAACCCAGCGCUGGCUUUGCAGAACAAUUUAGAAAUUGAUCUGCAACUGAUGGAAGCUGGGAUGAAUUGGGCGCAUAAGUGAACCCAAAGCAUCAGAGCAAAGUCAAAGCGAACAUCUGGCUCCAGCUUUGAGUACAAGGUGAGCAACUUCCCUUCUCCCUCCCCUUCCCCCAAACCUCCUUUUGCACAGGCAGCAGGGGCAGAUUUUAGUCUCCGCAAAGGAACUUCUUGCUUUGGGGACAUCCCUCGGGUCUGUAGAGGUUCUGUAAACUUUUCUUUCAUCUUCUGUUUACUUACCUCUUGCCUAAAUAGGUCAGGGGUCCACAACCCUGAGAAAACAAGUCCUCACUAUGCCUCAACUGACAUUAAAGAAAGGGUCUUUUGUUUUGUACAAAACUGUGAAAAUCUGGUUGAGAAUGGAGAGCAUUGAUCUGAACUGCUUUGUGUCAUUCUGACAUUCUUGGGGUCUGUGGGAUUACCUACAAGUGUGCAAGGGUGGUGUCCUGCAACCCUGGGAAAUGCUUAGGGAACAAGAUGCUUCUAAGGCUGUUCUGGGGGAUUGAGAGAUGUCAGAAUAUGUUCUCACCCAAGGACAGUGAAGGAUGAUAAUUGAG